rnacentral:rRNA from 1 species
CCUACGGGAGGCAGCAGUGGUGAAUAUUGCACAAUGGGGGAAACCCUGAUGCAGCGACGCCGCGUGAGUGAAGAAGUAAUUCGUUAUGUAAAGCUCUAUCAUCAGGGAAGACAAUGACGGUACCUGAGUAAGAAGCCCCGGCUAACUACGUGCCAGCAGCCGCGGUAAUACGUAGGGGGGAAGCGUUAUCAGGAUGUACUGGGUGUAACGGGAGCGUAGACGGGUGUGCAAGUCAUGAGUGAAAGGCGGGGGCUCAACACCCGGAGUGCUCUGGAAACUGUACGGCUGGAGUGCAGGAGGGGUAAGUGGAAUUCCGAGUGUAGCGGUGAAAUGCGUAGAUAUUAGGAGGAACACCAGUGGCGAAGGCGGCUUACUGGACUGUAACUGACGUUGAGGCUCGAAAGCGUGGGGAGCAAACAGGAUUAGAUACCCCAGUAGUC